rnacentral:lncRNA from 1 species
GAUAGUACCAUCUGCACAGAGAAUAGGAUUUCCAGGCUUCAAGUCAAUAGCCAACUUCUGGUAGCUCAUUGAGAUCAUUUUUUCAUCUCCUUUUAUGCUGUAAUCAGUGGUUACAGUGAUUUCCUGGCCUUCUUUAAGUUGAAUAGGUUUUCCAUCCUUCAAGAAACCAGUUCGAAUCUCAGGUCCCUGCAUAAAAAAUGACACACUGUUCAGCUCCAAGCAGUAUCAAGAAGUUGAAAAUGACAGUUUACAAUUAUCCUGGAAAAAAGUUUAUUUAGGGAUGGAAGCAAUAAAAUCAAUGAGAUUAAGAUCAAAUCCAAAACUAGACAUCUAUCAGUCAUAAACAUGGCAUGAAAGGGACAUAACUGACCAAAGUACGAAACAUGUGAUAGUGGAAAAUGAUUUUUCAGGCAGUUGGUUAAUUCUCACAGAAUUCAAAGGCGAGACAAAGUUCAAAAUCUUUAUGGAAACACUUCGGCCCGUUUGAUUAAUGUUUCAAUUUUCAAUUUUGAGUUCAUUUUCAAUUUUCUGUUUUUAAUGUUUGCUUUAAGACUGCUAAAAACACGUUUGGUUUAUCAUUCUGGAAAUUUUUUUCUUAAAACAAAAAACUAGAAAAUACUUUUGAUUUUGAAUUUUGAGAAAUCGUUUUAUACAUUUUAUUUCAUGAAAUUUGAUUAAUCAAAUCAAUUUUAUGUUAGUAAUAUAUACAUUUUAAAGUUGGUAAAUCUUAGAAUAUUUUUUCUUCGCUACAAAAGCAAAACAAAACCAUAUAAUAGAUGAGUUGCAAAACAUACGAAAUAAAAUAUAAAAAUUAAUGACAUGAACUGAGAGUUUUUAUCUAUAUUCAUUUAAAUACAUUUUUUAGAUUUUUUAUGUAAAUAAUAAAGAGCUUGAACUAUGUUUAUUUUUUUAUUUUUCUAGAAUUUUUAAAAUUUUAUUAUUUAAGAAUUUUUGUUUUUAAAACUUUUUAGUUCUUUAUUUUUUCUAAAAUUUAUCAAAAUUUUUUUAUUAGAAUUCUAUAUAUAUAUAUAGAUAGAAUUUUUAAUUUUUAUAAUUUUAUGUAAACUCUUAUUUCUCAUGUUUUGAGAGUGUUUUCAAAAUUUUCAUUGAAAAACGUCAAAAAUGAUUUUUGGACUUUAUGUUAUAAGCUUAACCUUAUUUUUGAAAUGCAUUUUCAAAAAUAUCAACCCAAACAAGUUUUGGGUGUUUUGCAAAGCUGAAAAUAGCAAAUCAAGCGCACCCUUCUUUUUCAAGACAUCAAAUGUACGAGUAAGUUGGUUCAUGUAGAACUAGAUAAUAGAACAAGACGAGGUCUAUCAUAUAAAAAUAAAUAAAAUUUAUAGAGAAAUGCAAGGAACGAUAGAAUUUCGUGCCUAAAUAGCACUGCCCCAAGUUUUGGAAUCACGAUGAUUUUCUUAAACAUUUCUGCAGUUUGGCUGUGUCCAACUUUGGUGUUAUAUUCUAUAAAAUAACGAAAAAAAUGAUUCAAAGAUAAAAAGGAAAGAAGAGAGAUUCAGAAUCUACAAGGUUUUGUUUCUUCUCAGCAAUUUUUUCAUCGUCUGAGAAACUAAGCAGCAUUUCCCCUAAUAUCAUUUCUGUAACUUUUGCGGAAAAUAACUAGCAAGUUUCCAUCAUAUAUUGUGGCUGGCAGUGGCAACAUCACGGGCAAAAUGCCUAUUCUUUGUGGAUGUCAAAAUCAUAUUGCUCUUUUAAUUUAACCAAGAAUAAAACCCUUUUAAGGUAGCUCAAAAAUCAACCUAACCUCUUUGCUCGAUUACUGAACAAGGUGAUGUGUUCCUUUAUGGACACUUCUCCUUACCCUUCAAUUUCCACCCCAACAAAACACGGGCUAAAUUAUUUACAUCUUUGAUUUAGACAUCCUGACUUGUAUGUAUAAGAAACAGAAAAAAUGGCUAAAUAAAUACUUCUCCUUGUCUAAUAUAAUAAUCUGACAUCAUCUCUAGCAAUAAAAGAAUUUUCAACAAUUGAUUUCAUCAUUGAAUAUUCAAAUCAUAAAAAAGUUCAUUUAUCCUUGGGGCCUAGAAAAAAAUAUAUUAAUAUGAAACUAACAUAAGAUCUUAGAAACACGCUAUGCAGAAAAAUCAAGUUCAUCUUCAUCAGCUCAAAUCACAAAACUUGUUAGUGAAAAACAGGUGCAGGCUUAGGCAAACGGUUCUCAAUAUACAAAUGUGAGUGCAAUACAGACCUUGGUAUCAAGCAUGACAGCACAAAGGAUUUGAGUGUUGUGCAUAGCAAUCCUGAGGUUGUCCAGAGUCUCCUGAUGGUAAUCAUGGGUCCCAUGCGAAAAGUUGAACCUGGCAACGUUCAUUCCGGCUCUAAGGAGCUUCUCCGCCAUUGGCACUGACCGAGACGCUGGCCCCAAAGUGCACACAAUCUUUGUCUUGGGGACACGGCCAUCAUUUGGAAUCCCCUUCAAAAUUCCCUCAAUGUCUAUGUUUGCCAUUUUCAUUUCCCUGUCUUUCUAAAGGCACAAAGAAUUCAGUCCAGUACACUACCUAUCAGUGAAAGAGCAAAAACUCAUAUUAGCAAUAUAAAGAUCAAAACAACUUACUAUUGGUCCUAUCAACAUAACAAAAGCAAACUGGAAAAGGCUACUUCGUUAUCAAACAAGUGAUAACGAAAUCAUACAUGAAUCCUACUAAAACAAUAUAUUCAUUGAUGUUUUCUUUUCAUUUUGGGGCAAUUUGUCGAGUAUUCUGCAGAAUCAAAAUUAUCAUGUCCAACUUGCCUUAGCAACAAAUUCCACGCCGUACCCAAAAAGAAAAGCAGAAGAACAGUACAUAAAUAAAAUUUGAAGAAAGAUCGGCGAUUUUCACAAGUAACAAAUUUUCUGCAUAUACUUCAUAUUAUCCACAAAAAUAUAAAAAAAAAACACAACGUGGGUGGUCCAUAAGAAGGCAGUUUUCGCCCAACAAAACAAAAUAAACAACGAUUUGACAGAAAAUACAAGAAUUUCAACAAAACUAAAAACAUAGAAAAGUACGGCAACAGAACUUUUAGAUCUACAACCACCAAAAAACCAUUUCAAACAGAAACAAAAUGGAAAUUACCAAUAUAAGAGAGAAAAUAGCAUUUAGAAUGAAAUUAGCAAAAUCGGUACACAAAUCAUUACACUCACCACAGGAGUUUAAAGUUGAAGUAGAGGAGCAGCCCACAGAUUUUUCUCUCUAUGUUUGAGCUGAAGAUUCCAGUUUGCACGCCGUAGACAUCAAAUUAAUUACAGUGUGCGAUUUAAGGGUACACCGUUUUGGGGAUCUUAGAACAAAUUACAGAAUAUGCUUACACCGUGUUUGUUGGCGAAUCUUUACCACUGUAUUGUAAAAGUAAAAUUAAGUAAUUACAAGUUUUUUGAUUAAUUAUAAUUUAAAAUAAAUAAGUUGCUUUGUUUUCGUUCUGUUUUUCUUCUUUUUGUUUCCACGGCCUAUUUCUUCUUUCAUUCUAAAUUGAAGUUAAUAUCUAAAAAUUAUUUUCGAAAUAAGUAAUUUUACUUUAUUUAAAGAAAAUAUAAAAGGUAGUCAUUGAACUUUUAGUAAAAUUUUAAUUGAGAUCUAAACUUUAAUUUAUCUUUCAUUCUAAUACCGAUCCUCAUCUAUACUAGCGAAUAUUGUACAAUUAUUGGUCAUAUGGUAAUUGAAUUUCUAUAAAAUCACUUUGUAAGACCCUAAAUUAAAAGAUAAAAACGUGACUUUAUGGUAAAUUGACACAUCCUUAGUGUUUGCAUGGAAAAUUUGUUUUGUAAAUUGGCCAUAGCAAUUGCAUAGAAAAUCCAUUGCGAUAGACUAUUAAUUAAGUAAAUUUUAUAAAUUUAGGAUAGUCACGUGACGAAGUGGUAGUCUUAUUUGGUACAAAUUAAAUUUAAAUUUUAAUGUAAGUCAGAGUUAAUAGUCCCACAACUUUGUAAUAACAUAUUUUAUUAAUUUUUAUCAAAAUCUACUAAAAAUUUAAUUUUAAUUUCCACCAAACAGAGGUUAAAAUUAAAGUUCGGUAUUUCAUUUAAGUAAUUUAAAAUAAGUGCCGAAAUUAAAAUUUUGUUGAAAAUUCGAGAAAUUUAAUGCAAAACUGAAAUAUACUUUGAAGUCAUUUUACUUACUUUUAAGUGAUUGGUAAGAAGCAAGGAAAACUUAUAAGAAAGCGGCUUGGGCCUGGAUGAUGACAAAUGAGGCGAUUGAGUGUCCAAAUGCCGCAUCCCACAUGAAAAAGAUGUAACAAUAUUGUCCAAAAACAAGACAACAUGUGUUAAAUGUCUCUAUCUUCAUUCAACUUUUUUGAAAAUUUCAUUGUUAUUAGUGAAAUUUACAUGCUUUUAGAGUUGUCACUUAAUUUUUUUUCAAAUAUUUUAUAAACAAAGUUAUGAACUAUAUUAUCUCAUAUGUCACUUCAUUAUUCGUCAUUUGAAAAGGUAACAUAGCAGAUGAAAUGGUAAAUUUGAUAAUGUUUUAGUAAGUUCAUCCAGUCCAUAACUUUUAAAACGACGAUUGAUGGAGUGAUGAAUAGAAUUAUAUUUUAGCAUGUUUAAGGAUAAUUUAGAGAACUUUUAAAAUUUAAUUGCAACUGGCAAUCCUUUGAGAAAGUUUACUGACAAAACUCGAAAGUCAUUUAAAGUUCAAUAACUGUUAAAAAAAGUCUUUAAAAAGUUCAUAAUAACUGAGAUAUUUGAAGUGUAUGAUGCAUGUACCAGCACCGGAUGGAUGUAGAAGUAAGAUUGUAUCAUCAACACAUUGUGCAUUCUUGAUUUGUUAAGUGUUCAAUUUGAAGAGAAAAAAAAGAAUGACCAAUGAGAAGAAAAAACUAUUGGAUUUUGUUAUAGAUUGGUGUAGUAUUAAAAUAAGAUGGGUUUAUUAGUUAAUUUUCUCUUUAUAUGAUCGAAAUUUGUAGACGAAAAAGAUUAUCUAAUUAUGAACUUAGCAAAAAUUACACACACAUUAAAACUCAACACAACAUGAUAAUCUUUUAAAUUUGGAAUGAAUUGAAGAUACUCCCUUCUAAUCCACAUCUAGACUAGAGCUUAUUCUAAAGUUUAAAAGCUUAAAUCUCACUAAUGUUCUCGAUAGAUUAAGCAAAAAAUGAAAAUUGAGCGUUAGAGUAUUCUUAUAAUUUAUUUAGUCACGUCCCGUUUGGUACUCAUUUUUUGUAAGAAUGAGAAUGACAAAUACAGUCGUUACGCGUUUUCCAAAAAAACAAAGAAAGAUAGGGACUUUUUGUGCUAAUUACCCUAUAAAUUAUGUUGUGAUGUCCUAAAAGAUAAUCUAUGAAGUUUGGUUGAAAUUAAUACUAUAUUAAUUUAUUGAAUAAAUAAAUAUUAAAAAGUAUUUAUUUAAAUAAUAAAGUUUUUGAAACAGUGACCUUGAAACUUUGAAGAAUAUUAGAUACUGGAUUAUUUAUAUUCUAACUCAUUAAUAUUAAAUAUUAGUAAAACUUGACUGAAAAAUUUUCGUUACUUCAUUAAAAAUUUCAAGUUAACUAAAAAGUUAAACUACACAUUUACAUUUUAAACAGUUUAAAAGAUGUGGAUAUGAUUGACAUUUUUGUACUUAGAAUUUCCUUUUAUCAAUAAUCCCUUAAUUUUUAAUUAUAAGCAAUAAUUCACAGUAGGUUGUUACAGUCAUACCACAUUUUUAAUAAAUAAACCACAUUUUAACUCCAUUAAAAAUCUCAAACUUUAUGUAUAACCAUUUUCAUCACAUUCUUACCCUUAUCAUUUUAUUAAUUAGCAAAUAUUAACCUUAACGAUGAUUUUGGUUUAUAAUCUUGGUUAAGUUGCUUUAAAAUAAGGAGCAAAUACUCACAAAUUUCUUUUCUUAUUUAAAAAUAGGGUUAAUUUCACAAACUUUCAUUGAACUUACGCGAAAAUUACAAAACGGUCAUUGAAAUUUAAAACUUUCAAAAAUGGUCACUUAAGUUUCGGACGGUUUCACUAAUGGUCACUGAAGUUUUUAAAACUUGCACAAAUGGUCACUGAAUGUACCACAAUGAUUCUAAUUCAAACUUAAGGAUCGAAACACUUGACCAUACAAAAUUUUGAGGACCUCAGGUGAAAACUUCCGACUGGUGGAGCAAAGGCGAUGGAUUUUGAGGAUUUUGAGUCACCACCUAUGGACCACCACAACUCCAACUCCAACCACCUUGCCGUCGGACCAACAUACCACCUUGAAGUCCUCACUUCACUCUUUCCAACUCACCCGACCAAUGGCCGAAACUCCAUUAGAUCUACCUGAAAUUUCCGAUCAAUGAAGGCUGCCCAUGCAGCAAAAAGGGCCAAAAAUUGCAACAACGAACUCAGACCAUUCAGUCCCAAUUUUCGAUGCCGACGAUGCUACCCACAAUCGCGGACCACCAUCCCUUUUUCUGUCUCUUUAUGGCACAUCCAAUGAACCUAUGGGUCACCGCCAAUUUUGAAUCAAACAAAUCAAAAAAUAAAGAUCUCCAGCCAUUUUUAUUCACAACGAACUCGGACCAUUCAACCCCAAUUUUCGGCUCUAGCAACGCUACCCACGGUUGCGGACCACCAUCCCUAGGACCAUCUCUUCAUGGCGCAUCCAAUGAACCUAUGGGUCAUCGCCAAUUUUGAACCAACAGGGCUGAAUCGAACCAGACAAUCUUGCGCAUCGAACAUAAUGAGAAAAUCAAAUCUACCUCCUUCAAUUCCUCCUUUCCACAUCAUUGAGUCACAAAAUUGGUCCCAAUCGAGUCUCCAGCGGCAUCAUACGACCAUGGGUAACAGCUCAGUUGCACCAAUUAAUCCAGAAACGACCCCAAUCAUCAAAUUAAGCCAAUUUCUAGGUGUUUUUAAGGUGGCCGAAAGUUUGCACAUGAGGUCCUCAAAAAAUUGUAUGGUCACGUGUUUCAAUCCUUAAGUUUGAAUUAGAAUCAUUUUGGUACCUUCAGUGACCAUUUAUGCAAGUUUUAAAAACUUCAGUGACCAUUAGUGAAAUCUCCCGAAACUUAAGUGACCGUUUAUGAAAAUUUUAAACUUCAACGACUGUUUUGUAAUUUUCGCGUAAGUUCAGUGAUCGUUUGUGAAAUUAACCCUUUAAAAAUACGAAGGACUAAUAAUUUAUUUUUUCAAACUAAACAAGAAAGGUAAUAAAAAACAAGAAAUACAAAUUAAUGGAAAGUUAAAAGAUAGAAAUUCUAUUAAAAAUGUUUAAAACUUAAGUGGGAUAAUGAGUAAAUAUUAUAAAUCUUUCGAGCAAUUAAAAUGUAUUGAACUUAUUAAAAAAUAUAUAUAUACCGUUUGAACAUAAUUAGCCUUCGUCUAUUUAGUUCAUACAUCAAAAGCUAGUAUUAGACUGCGAACUAGAAAUAGAAUGUGAAAAGUGUCAAAAAGUUAUUUUAAGACUCAAAGAUGAAAAAUCUAAAGGGUUCGGCUACAUGUACACGAGGGUGUACACUCCGGUGUACACGCUCCUCACAUGGGAGGUUAGCCGAAAGCAUUUAAUGGGCGUGGGGCACCUUCUCAUGUGAGAGGCGUGUACACCGGAAUGUACACCCCAUGUACAAAUGACUUUUUCCAAAUCUAAAUGAGCAAGGAUUACAAUUGGUGCGGUGAUUCAUAAAAGGUUGGCAUUUUGAAUGUGAAUUUAUAAAUAAACUUUUGUAAAUUUAAUACACCAUAACUAAAUCUCAAGUAAUAUUUAUGGCAAAUGAAUUUAGGGCAUGUUUUAUAGGCUUGGUUUUUCAUGGAAAACUAUUUUCCAUUUUCAUCCAAAAAUGCAUGUUUGAUGGCAAAAUUUUUCCAUGAAAUUGAUUUUCUUGGUACAACCAUUUGUGCACCAUUUAAAGAAAAAUGUUUUCUCAUGGGUUUGAUAGUUUCUCGUUUUCUAGCUUUUUUUUCCGACAAUUAGAACAAAUUUUAUCCCUUCAAUUGACAACUUCUAUAAAAAACAAAGCCAAACGAGCACCAAAAGAUCCAAAAUUUCAAUUUUUUUAGAUGAAAAUUAUACCAGUCAAACACAUUUAAUUGACAAUUCUCAGUAACACAAAUUCUAGGCAAUUUUAUUCCUUAGAAAUAGUUUUCUUUCCACCCAAAUUUUAUUAUUGCAAUCAAACGGACCCUCAGUGCAAACCAAGCAGAUAAAAUUCUCCUAAAAUCAAUAAUGUGGCAAUGCAAAUUAACUCCAAAAGUAGCCAAAAAAUAAAAACCUAGAAUACUAAGGACAGUAGUCAAAAACUGCAUUAUAAAACAGAGGAUCAGUUCGUAAGUUUCCCUUCAUUUUUAUUAUCUUCUAGAAUAUCAAGUUUAACACUAACGUGUAACUUGAAAAUUAAGCUGCACUCAAAAGGAAGCUUGAGUUGCAGGUCACUAAAGGAAACAAAUGCCCAACCGGAGAUGCCAGAAUCAGGGCUCAUCAAGUAUAUAGUAACACGUGUUACCAAAUUUAAGCAAAAUAAAAGCAUAAAUCAAAAUAGAAGUGUAAGUUUGAAACACAUCACGUUCACUUGACUAUGCAUAUCUUGAUAACAGAUGCAGCUCCAAUACGGUGCAGCGCCACGACAGCAUCGCCUGACUGGCACAACCCUUUCUUAGUGGCAGAUUUCAAGGCAGCUUCCAAGAUUUCUUCAGUUGACUCAGAAUCAGUUGCUUUUGCAGAUCCUUCAGCAAGGAUAGGUAUCAAUCCCCUGUAUAUCAGACUAUGCCUAGCCGGUGUUUCAUCACUUACAGCCCAAUCAAAUGAAUCUGUCGUGAGAACUGGAACAACAACUGAUAAAAUUGGGACUGCUGGCCUAUAUUUUGCAACUAACUUCGCUGUAGUCCCACCACGUGUCAUCACUACAAUGAGUUUUGCUUUAGCCUUGUUAGCAGUGCGCACAGCUGAUGACGCCAGAGACUCCAAUGGGCUCAUUGGGAGUGGGGUCGACCUAAUCAUCUCCUUGAAGAUCGCUCCAUAGUCGAGCGAAGACUCUGCUUCAAUACAGAUUUUAGCCAUUACUUUUACAGCAAGCUCAGGAUAAGCCCCAGCAGCACUCUCCCCACUUAGCAUAACGCAAUCAGUACCAUCCAAGACGGCAUUAGCUACAUCGGUUGCCUCAGCACGAGUGGGUCUUGGAGACUUAAUCAUGGAUUCAAGCAUCUGUGUGGCAGUUACAACAGGCUUGCCAACAAGAUUACACUUGUAUAUCAUCAUUUUCUGUGCCAGGAAAAUCUUUUCAACUGGAAUUUCCAUUCCAAGAUCACCACGCGCCACCAUGAAUGAAUCCGUCUCACGAAGGAUUUCAUCAAAGUUAACCACUCCCUCCUGAUUUUCAACCUUCAAAUAUAAUCCAACAAUCAAAUAAAUAAAUAAGAAACCUAGAAGGGGGACCAUCCAAUUUAUGACUUGCCAAAACCGGUCGAUCCCCUGUGGAAAACUAUUAGGAGGAAUGAGGAGAAAUACAAUAUUACUAGAAGGAUGUAGUGUAACCAAUUGGCACGAUAUGCUAGUCUUUUCUUCCUGUUCUCUUAUCCUCCAAAAAAAUGUAAAUAAAAAAUCACUAAAAGAAAAUUGGAAAAGAAUUUACUUACCUUUGACAUUAACUGUAUGCGCUUGGCAUGAGGGCCAAGAACCUUACGUACAUUAACCAGGUCAGAGCCCUUGCGAACAAAUGAGAGAGCAAUCAUAUCAAUGUUAUUAGGAACACCCCAUUGCAGGAUAUCUUCCUUGUCCUUAUCUGUAAGUGUGGGAAGAUCCACUAUCACACCAGGUAAAUUGACAUUUUUCCUCUCCCCUAGCAUAGCAGUAUUUUCACAACGGCAUCUCACAGUUCCAGAGGCUGGAUCACAUGUCAAAACAGAAAGAGUGAUAGUACCAUCUGCACAGAGAAUAGGAUUUCCAGGCUUCAAGUCAAUAGCCAACUUCUGGUAGCUCAUUGAGAUCAUUUUUUCAUCUCCUUUUAUGCUGUAAUCAGUGGUUACAGUGAUUUCCUGGCCUUCUUUAAGUUGAAUAGGUUUUCCAUCCUUCAAGAAACCAGUUCGA